rnacentral:rRNA from 1 species
UCUGGAAGUAAAAAGUCGUAACAAGGUUUCCGUAGGUGAACCUGCGGAAGGAUCAUUAUCGAAUUUUGAAAGGGGUUGUAGCUGGUCUUUCACGAGGCAUGUGCACACCCUGCUCAUCCAUUCUACACCUGUGCACAYUCUGUAGGUCGGUUUGAAUGGUUCUCUCAGGGGAGCUGUUUGGCCUUCCUAUGUUUUUAUUAUACACACUUUAAGUCAAAGAAUGUAAUCUGCGUCUAACGCAUCUUAUACAACUUUCAGCAACGGAUCUCUUGGCUCUCGCAUCGAUGAAGAACGCAGCGAAAUGCGAUAAGUAAUGUGAAUUGCAGAAUUCAGUGAAUCAUCGAAUCUUUGAACGCACCUUGCGCUCCUUGGUAUUCCGAGGAGCAUGCCUGUUUGAGUGUCAUGGAAUUCUCAACUCUCUUACCUUUGUUGGUAAGCAGAGCUUGGAUUUGGAGGUUUCUGCUGGCUCUUCAUUGAAUCAGCUCCUCUUGAAUGCAUUAGCUUGAACCUUUGUGGAAUGGCUUAUCGGUGUGAUAAUUGUCUACGCCGUUGGCUGUGAAGCUCAUACACUUCGGUGUGAGGAUCAGCUUCUAAUGGUCCUUCAAUGGACAAUCUUUGACCUCUGGCCUCAAAUCAGGUAGGAUUACCCGCUGAACUUAAGCAUAUCAAUAAGGCGGAGGAA